AAGGCUCGUCCGCUCAGGGUUAGUCGGGACCUAAGCCGAGGCCGAAAGGCGUAGGCGAUGGACAACAGGUUGAUAUUCCUGUACCACCUCCUCACCAUUGAGCAAUGGGGGACGCAGGAGGAUAGGGUAAGCGCGGUAUUGGAUAUCCGCGUCCAAGCAGUUAGGCUGGGAAAUAGGCAAAUCCGUUUCCCAUAAGGCUGAGCUGUGAUGGCGAGCGAAUAUAGUAGCGAAGUUCCUGAUUCCACACUGCCAAGAAAGCCUCUAGCGAGGUGAGAGGUGCCCGUACCGCAAACCGACACAGGUAGGCGAGGAGAGAAUCCUAAGGUGAUCGAGAGAACUCUCGU
rnacentral:rRNA from 1 species